rnacentral:lncRNA from 1 species
CUUCUAUACUUCUAUAAUCUCAUUUUAUAGUGGUACUUCCAAAAAAAUCCUUGAAUGCUUCAACAAUCCUUAGCAAUGGAUUUUUUCUCAAUUUAUCUUCUUUUUACUCAUAAUUUUGAAGUUUAAUCAAAAAUUGUAUUGUCCUCCUCCCAUAUUCACUAUGAAUUUGUACAUAAGUUGAACCAUUAUCAAGUACUUUUUUUUCCAUCUGAGUUGCAAUAAUAUAUGAUUGCUCCAAAAUAAGAAGAUAAGAUGUUGCAUUUUGAACAAAGAAAUUUUGUUCCAUUACAACAUCACUAAUUCAAAUUUUCACAUGUAGGCAAGUAUCAUAUAACUCACCUUGUGUAUUAUUAGCUAUCCGUAUUAUCCAUCUAUGCUCUAUAUCAAUUGGCUACCUUUGUUUCAUGUAAAAAUGCUUAG